rnacentral:lncRNA from 1 species
CUUUAAUUAUGCAGAUUUAUGCACGACGCUACUACACUCGCACAAACUGAGAAGAGUUAGUUCAUUGAGAAUGGAUGGAAACUGAUGAAGAGCUGGAAGGAGUUAAAUGAUGAGUAGACAUUACAACAUUUCUUAUAUUUUCAAGAUGAAGCUGAAAGUCCCAUGCAGGAUGAUGCUUCUCUACAGUGGAUGAUGAAAGCAUGCUGAUUACAAACCCAGGAGAGGAAUAAAGAACAGAUAUUGACAGAAUCAUAUCUAGAGAUGUGGGCCUACUGCACUUCAUACAAGCAAGUGUGCUAAUAUACCAUACUUGGGUUAUCAUCACAGCCCUUUCUUCUGAAAACUAGCCUACAACUUCAUCGAUGAAUGCAGAAGACAUCUACAUGGGACUACGUCUUAAAGAUGCCC